GUGCCAGCAGCGGCGGUAAUACGGAGGGUGCAAGCGUUAAUCGGAAUUACUGGGCGUAAAGCGCACGCAGGCGGUCUGUCAAGUCGGAUGUGAAAUCCCCGGGCUCAACCUGGGAACUGCAUUCGAAACUGGCAGGCUAGAGUCUUGUAGAGGGGGGUAGAAUUCCAGGUGUAGCGGUGAAAUGCGUAGAGAUCUGGAGGAAUACCGGUGGCGAAGGCGGCCCCUGGACAAAGACUGACGCUCAGGUGCGAAAGCGUGGGGAGCAAACAGGAUUAGAUACCCUGGUAGUCCACGCCGUAAACGAUGUCGAUUUGGAGGUUGUGCCCUUGAGCGUGGCUUCCGGAGCUAACGCGUUAAAUCGACCGCCUGGGGAGUACGGCCGCAAGGUUAAAACUCAAAUGAAAUUGACGGGGGCCCGCACAAAGCGGUGGAGCAUGUGGUUUAAUUCGAUGCAACGCGAAGAACCUUACCUGGUCUUGACAUCCACAGAACUUUCCAGAGAUGGAUUGGUGCCUUC
rnacentral:rRNA from 1 species